AUUGAACGCUGGCGGCAGGCUUAACACAUGCAAGUCGAGCGGGGGAAGGUAGCUUGCUACCGGACCUAGCGGCGGACGGGUGAGUAAUGCUUAGGAAUCUGCCUUGUAGAGGAGGAUAACACCUGGAAACGGGUGCUAAUACUGCAUAAGCUCUAAGGAGGAAAGAGUGGCGCAAGCCAUUUGCUAUAAGAUGAACCUACGUCGGAUUAGCUAGUUGGAGAGGUAAAGGCUCCCCAAGGCGAAGAUCCGUAGCUGUUCUGAGAGGAAGACCAGCCACACUGGGACUGAGAUACGGCCCAGACUCCUACGGGAGGCAGCAGUGGGGAAUUUUGGACAAUGGGGGAAACCCUGAUCCAGCGAUGCCGCGUGUGUGAAGAAGGCCUUAGGGUUGUAAAGCACUUUAGGUUGGGAAGAAGAUAUGGAGACGCAAGUUGAAGUAUUUGACGUUACCAACAGAAUAAGCACCGGCUAACUCUGUGCCAGCAGCCGCCGUAA
rnacentral:rRNA from 1 species